rnacentral:rRNA from 1 species
AUUGAACGCUAGCGGGAUGCUUAACACAUGCAAGUCGAACGAGUGGCGGACGGGUGAGUAAUAGAUCGGAACGUGCCCAAUGGAGGGGGCUAACUACUGGAAACAGUGGCUAAUACCGCAUACCAUAGGAUGGGCCGCAAUCGGAUUAGCUAGUCGGUGGGGUAAAGGCUCACCAAGGCGACGAUCCCGAGCUGGUUUGAGAGGAUGACCAGCCACACUGGGACUGAGACACGGCCCAGACUCCUACGGGAGGCAGCAGUGGGGAAUUUUGGACAAUGGGGGAAACCCUGAUCCAGCCAUCCCGCGUGUAUGAGAAGGCCUUCGGGUUGUAAAGUACUUUCGGCAGAGAAGCGGUAUCUGCAGAAUAAGCACCGGCUAACUACGUGCCAGCAGCCGCGGUAAUUC